AGCCCAUCAGCUAGCUUACACAAAUAAAAACAACCCCUCCCCAUUCAUAACCCCUAACACCCUAAGACUAAACAACAAACCAUUUUACCCCUCUAGUAUGGGCGACAGAAAAAGAACCCUAAGAGCAAUAGAAAAAGUACCGCAAGGGAAAGCUGAAAGAGAAAUGAAACAAACCAAUAAAGCACUAAAAAGCAGAGACUUCCUCUCGUACCUUUUGCAUCAUGACUUAGCCAGACCCCCCCAAGCAAAAAGAUUUUUAGUUUGCCCACCCGAAACUAWGUGAGCUACUCCAAGACAGCCUAAACUAAUUAGGGCAUACCCGUCUCUGUGGCAAUAGAGUGGGAAGAGCUUCGAGUAGAGGUGAAAAACCAAUCGAACUUAGUUAUAGCUGGUUACCUGAUAACUGAAUAAAAGUUCAGCUCCUUAAAUUCUUCCUUCAUCCAAGGCACCCUACCCACACAUCCCCUUGAGAUAAAAAGAAAUUAAGGCAGUUAUUCAAAGGGGGUACAGCCCCUUUGAAACAAGAACCAACUUCCUCAGGAGGGUAAAGAUCAUA
rnacentral:rRNA from 1 species